GACGAACGCUGGCGGCGUGCUUAACACAUGCAAGUCGAACGGAAAGGCCCUGCUUUUGUGGGGUGCUCGAGUGGCGAACGGGAGAGUAACACGAGAGUAACCUGCCCUUGACUUUGGGAUAACUUCAGGAAACUGGGGCUAGUACAGGAUAGGAGCUCCUGCUGCAUGGGGGGGGUUGGAAAGGGUCGGCGGUUGGGUAUGUACGGGCGGCUUAUCAGCUUGUUGGUGGGGUAGUGGCUUACCAAGGCUUUGACGGGUAGCCGGCCUGAGAGGGUGACCGGCCACAUUGGGACUGAGAUACGGCCCAGACUCCUACGGGAGGCAGCAGUGGGGAAUAUUGCGCAAUGGGCGGAAGCCGGAUGCAGCAACGCCGCGUGCGGGAUGACGGCCUUCGGGUUGUAAACCGCUUUCGCCUGUGACGAAGCGUGAGUGACGGUAAUUGGUAAAGAAGCACCGGCUAACUACGUG
rnacentral:rRNA from 1 species